rnacentral:lncRNA from 1 species
AACGAUACUGACGACGCAAGUUUUUGCUAGCUUGCUGGUACUUUGUUACUAAAAAGAAGCAUAAGAGUUUCAGGCUAGGAAUGGUAAAGUAACAAGUACAACGUUAUAGGUCAUGAUAGAUUAUUUCUUGGGUUAAUUAGGGGUAGAAUAAUGAUGAGCGAUUAAGAAAUAGUGUGAGUUUACCACAUUGGAGGUAAAAAUGUCCUUGAUUGCUAGGUUAGGCUUCCAAUUGAUGGAAUUUGUUAGAGAUUAGCUUGUAAUCGUUUAAGUUGUGCAAGUCUGUAAUUUCAACGACAAUUCAUUCAUGAGAAAAUGCCCAAAUGCUCAAAAACAGCUAAAACAAUGUCCAAUCCAAUGAAAAAAGCAAUGUUUCAAAAGGCUAAGGCGUAGCCGAGGCAAUGGAGCGAGAGCCUCACCAAGGUGCUUGCCUUUUGGAAAAAAAACUUGUAUUCAUGUCAUUAUUCCUCCUAUAUAUAGAACAUAUAUUGCAAUCAACACAACAUUAUAUAUUGUCAUCCAAUCCUAGUAAAUACUCAAACAAUGCAAUUCAAGCAAAUCACCAAACAUAAAACACAUCCAAAGGGUCAAGUUGAAAUAUCAAGGUACACUAGCUAACACAUACAUAUAUCUGUAGUUGCACUAAGGCUCAAUCCCUAAAUUCUACACUAAACUACAGUCUCCAGUCCAAUAAACAAUCAAUGCCAUCAAACAUUGUUCCGCCAAGCAAUGAUGUCACUAACAUUGAUCUCUCAUAGACCACUAUAACAAACAUUACAAUACGCAAUUCAAAACCUAAUUCAAAUCACAAAAUUGAGGCAAUAACAUGUUUGAUCUUCAUCGAUUUCAAUUUCAAAACCUCAGACCUAUAAUCCAUGCAAAGAUUGAAAAGAAUUAAAAUUAACAAAAACGAACAAUAAGGAAAGAUCAAAAGGAAGUAUUACUGCACCUUGAGAAGAACAAGCCCUGAGAAUUUACAGUCUCCGGCGCCGAAGCCAAAAACGAGAGGAGACCCAGAAACGAGUAUAGCUGAAUUUGAGGAAUGGGUAAGGAUCAAAAUGUAAUUAGAGAGAGGGAGAGGGAAGGAGGGUGAAAAGAGAGAGGGAGAAGAGAGGGAGGCCAAACCUAGCCUUUAUUCAGUAAAACACUAAAACCCAAAACGAGUUAAAACGACCCCAUUUUCCUUCCAUAAAACUAGGCACACGCCUUAUGCGCCUUGGGGUGCGUUUUUUGCGCUUUUUGUGUCUUGUGAUGCGUCUUUUGCGCCUCUGCGCCUAAUCAGCAAAACAUAAGGAAUUUUUCAUACACCUCGCGUCUUUUAAGCCUCAAGACGCGCCCUAGGUGCGUUUUUUAAAACAUUGGACAAAAGUUUUUCAUUGCCCAUAUCAAUGAUUCUUAACAAAAAGACAUUUUCACCCUUUUUAGUAAUAACACCAUAAUAAGCCUCAUUUUUUUACAUAUCAAAAUUCCCCUUUCUCUCUUCUCUCUCUCCUCUCUCAGAUGUGAAUCUGAAUCCACUUGUUGGUGAAGCACCGAUGACCUGAAGCACUUGCGAAGCAUCACACAGGUGACGAGGCCUCGAUGCCGACAAGGCUUCUCCGAUCAGAUCUCAUCCUCCCUCUCUCCUCUGAUCUGUAAAACACACACACACACACAUUCUCUCUCUCUCUCUCUCCCUCUCUCCCUCCCUCCCUCCCUCCACCGUUGCUCGGGGCAGCGAGUCAUCACCGGUGGCAAGCGACGAGGCAGAGCUCUAAUCUCCAACAAAUUCACAGAGCAAAAGAUCUGAUUUACAAGAAGCCGAGCUCCGAUCUUCAAAACCAGAGGCGUUGGAGUUGGAGUCGUCGCGAGUUGUUUAUGGUUGCCUCCGAUCAGAGGAUGUGGUCUUCGCUUGGUCGCACAGCGUCUUCGCCUCCGCCUUUGGAUUCUAACUCGUAGGCUGACGCCGUCAGUUUUCAAGCUGGUCUGGUCGAGGUAAUAAAAUUCUACAGGGUGUGAAAAAUUUAUUGUAAAAGUAAUAAAUGUAUUACUGGCAUGGGGGUAAUAAUUUUAUUACUAGUGGUCAUAAUUCUUAUCUCUUCCUUUUUUUUCUUAUUCUUCAUCAAUCUUCUUCGUUUCUUUUGUGUUUUGGCUGAUUAUUGGUGGUUUGUAACAUGAUUGGGGGUCAGUAACUUAAGUAUUGGGGGUCAAUAAUUGCUUACUGGGGGUGAGUAACUGAUUAUUGGGGGUCAAUAACUGAUUAUUAGGGGUCAGUAACUAAAUUAUUGGGGGUCAAUAACUGAUUAUUAGGGGUCAGUAACCAAGUUAUUGGGGGUCAAUAACUGAUUUACCGGUGACCGAAAUCCGGCGACUGGAGAAAAUUUGAGUUACUAGAGGUCAAUAACUGAUUAUUGGGGGUCAGUAACCAAGUUAUUGGGGGUCAGUAACCGAGUUACUGGUGACCGAAAUCCGGCAACAGGAGAAAAUUUGAGUUACUGGGGGUCAGUAACCGAGUUAUCGGUGACUGGAAUCCGGCGACCGGGGAAAUCCAAGUCCGGCAACCGGUGACCGAAGUCCAGUGAGGUUCCGGCUAAGUAUUCUCUCUCUUCCACUUUCUCUCUCAAUGCAUGUUUAAAGGGUGAGGGUAAAAUAGUCUUAAAAUAAUAUGGCUUAUUAAGACUUUAGUAAAUAUUUGUGCAUUUGGGCAUAAAAAAAGGUUACCUUAUAUUGGAAUAGGCUCAUAAAAAAUAUUAUCAUUGGAAUGAGAAAUGAGAGAUUUAAAUUAGUACUAAAUGGGUAUUUUCCCUUAUUCAUUCGUCUUGCAUGGUAAAAAAAACCUUGAAACAUGAAGCACUUAAGCAUUGUAUCCGAUCAAGGCCCCAAUAUAUACGGUCUGCGCUUUGCUCAAACAUGUCAUCCCGGCACUUCGCAAUCACUGAGACAUGAUGACGAAUGCGUAGUUACUCAUUCGACGUCAAACCCUUUCCGGACAAGCUGUAUACCUUUUAUUUUCUCUAAACUAGCUAGCUUGUUAUGCAUGGUGGGGGAUGAUGGAGAUUGCUUGUUGAUCAAUCCUCUUCUUAGAGAAGUUCUAC